UUCAGGCCCAAGGAAGUAUUUCUCAAAAAUGAGGAACCUUACCUUUUCAGCUGUCUGAGGACCUUCAAAACACAGCACCCAUGGGACUGCUGGAGUUCUUCCCGAUCCCCGGGGAGACAGGUGGAGGAGGCUUCCAUAUGCAGUUCGACUGAUAGAGGUCCACUGGGAUCUGUCCACACUUCAGAAAAGAUUUUAUCUUAACCAGAAAACAUUUUUUAAGUGCCUUGUCUCGGCUGAAGCCUUUGGUUAAUGGACAGACUUUCUUUGACAUCAGGAAACAAAACAUCAUUUUGAAGGAUAACAUAGAGUCAAGUCAGAAUGAGUUUUAGUUCAAAAUAUUCAAGAAUUCCAUCUAUCACUCAAGCAAACCAUCUAACCCUUGAAGUACCUAAAUCCCACAAAAGUCGCUGCUCCAAUUCUAAGGUGGGCAUAUAUGCCAAUGCCCAUUCUGAUGUGUGAGUGGAAUAGAAGUAUGAUCUGCCUCUUCUCUUAUUAUCAUCUGUCAUUGCGAGGAAAUCCUCUGUGCUUCCUAAUUCAAGUUAGCAUGGGAAUUCAUCAGAAGGCCCUUAAAAGAGGGAGGAAAAUCAAAUGCCCUCUCAAAAGAAUGUUAUAUUCUGCCUCCAACCAAAGUGGUGAGAGGUGCUUCCCUUAGCAGACAUCUCUGCUGCAGAGGGAUUGUGCCAGACUGUCUGUACUGAAGAAAAUGUCUGCCUAUGUUCUCCAUUCCCUUCACAUGAAAGCAAGCAAGCAAUAUGGGACAGUAUCAUCCUUUCACGUAACAAAUAAAAGAAGGUGCACAGUCUGUACUCAAAAAGUGAAGACAAAUCACGAAAGGCAUAACAUGUCUAAACAAGAAAAAGGACAGAGGUCAGGAAGACGCGUCCUGUAUUUAACCGGUGCUUCGUGUUCCUUCCUCCCUAAGCAGAGUGGCUUUUAGAGACGCUAUACUAUCUGAACUCCUUCACUUCUUCCUUCCAACACCAUAUCAGUUUUGCUUGUAAAGCCCCACCACAAAAUCACCCUUUUCAAGGUAAUUUAUUAUUACUGUCUCCAAUUCUUUCUGUAAAUUAAUAAAUGAAAGCUUCCAUAAAGAAACAAGCUGUACAGCCCUGCCAGCUCAGCGCUACUGAGAUUACAGAGGAAUAAAUUGAAGAAAACAGAAAAAACACGAAUAGUUUCAGACUCAAAGGCCUUAAUUAACAAUGUUUGAAAGGGGCAUUAACUCCAAUAUUAAAAAUAACCUACUUAUAUACAAAUCUUUGGUGAUUGCCAUUAAUCAGCAAAGAACGCAUAAGCUUUCAGAAAGGCUUGCGUUAUCUUAGAAGGUAGUAGCAGAAUCGUGGGCAAGAAAAUGAAUAUGUGAGAAGUACAGUCCAUUCUCAAGAUGCUGCAAUAGCAGUCUCACACCAUAGCACACACACACAAAAAAAAUGAACACCAUGUUAAAAAAGACUGAGAAGACUGCAUAUAUUACUGUAAGUUACCAUAAGAAAAAGUAAAACUUCAAUAUUUAUUCUUUCAUCUCACCAUUCUUUAAAGCAAUCUGCAAGACAAUAGCAGAAUUACAGACUGUCCCAAGUUGAAAGAGACUCGUAAGGCUCAUCAAGGCCACCUCUGGGCUCCACACAGCAUGACUGACAAAAAAAGAAAAUAAAGAACAGAAAUCAGAAAAAUCGUGUCAGUAUGAAAACUCAUAAAUUAAGUUGUAAGAUAGCAUUUGGAAAUGAGAACUAUUUCAAUUACAUCAACCACAGAACCAAGAAGGAGGAGAAAGAAGAAUUUUGUACUUAAAAAGCACUAAGACAAGUAAAGCACCUUAUCUUCUUUGUCAUUUAGGAUUUGAAUCUCCUAAAAUUUAAUUUACAUCCUGUCUGAUUCAUAUUCUGGAAUAGUUGUUAAUCAAAGCUGUUCUGCUCUCUGUGAGAGCU